AGAGUUUGAUCCUGGCUCAGGAUCAACGCUGGCGGCGUGCCUAAUGCAUGCAAGUCGAACGGGGUCGCUUUCGGGCGACUCACGUGGCGGACGGGUGAGGAACACGUGGGCAAUCUGCCCAUCGGUGGGGGGUAGCCCUCGGAAACGGGGGGUAAUUCCGCAUGUGCGUGAUUGCCGGGUAGGGUGAUUACGGAAAGCCUUCGGGCGCCGAUGGAGGAGCCUGCGACCGAUUAGCUAGUUGGGGGGGUAACGGCUUCCCAAGGCGAUGAUCGGUAGCUGGUCUGAGAGGAUGGCCAGCCACACGGGGCUGAGACACGGCCCCGACUCCUACGGGAGGCAGCAGCAAGGAAUUUUCCGCAAUGGGCGAAACCUGACGGAGCAACGCCGCGUGCGGGAUGACGCUUUUCGGAGUGUAAACCGCUGUUCGUGGGGACGAAGCACUGACGGUACCCACGGAGGAAGGCCCGGCUAACUACGUGCCAGCAGCCGCGGUAAUACGUAGGGGUCGAGCGUUGUCCGGAAUUACUGGGCGUAAAGCGUGUGCAGGCGGCUCAUUGCGCCCGGCGUGAAAGCCCCCGGCUCAACCGGGGAGGGUCGUCGGGGACGGGUGAGCUUGAGGGUAUCAGGGGCAGGUAGAAUUCCCGGUGUAGUGGUGAAAUGCGUAGAGAUCGGGAGGAAUACCCGUGGCGAAGGCGGCCUGCUGGGAUACACCUGACGCUGAGACACGAAGGCGUGGGGAGCGAACGGGAUUAGAUACCCUAGUAGUCC
rnacentral:rRNA from 1 species